rnacentral:rRNA from 1 species
AUUGAACGCUGGCGGCAGGCCUAACACAUGCAAGUCGAGCGGAUGACGGGAGCUUGCUCCUUGAUUCAGCGGCGGACGGGUGAGUAAUGCCUAGGAAUCUGCCUGGUAGUGGGGGACAACGUUUCGAAAGGAACGCUAAUACCGCAUACGUCCUACGGGAGAAAGCAGGGGACCUUCGGGCCUUGCGCUAUCAGAUGAGCCUAGGUCGGAUUAGCUAGUAGGUGAGGUAAUGGCUCACCUAGGCGACGAUCCGUAACUGGUCUGAGAGGAUGAUCAGUCACACGGGACCGGAGACACGGUCCAGGUUCCUACGGGAGGCAGCAGUGGGGAAUAUUGGACAAUGGGCGAAAGCCUGAUCCAGCCAUGCCGCGUGUGUGAAGAAGGUCUUCGGAUUGUAAAGCACUUUAAGUUGGGAGGAAGGGCAGUAAGUUAAUACCUUGCUGUUUUGACGUUACCGACAGAAUAAGCACCGGCUAACUCUGUGCCAGCCGCCGCAGUAAGAC